rnacentral:rRNA from 1 species
UGCCUGAGUAGUAUUAGUUAUGUGCUUGAAACUUAAAAAAUUUGGCGGUAUUUUAGUCUAUUCAGAGGAACCUGUUCUAUAAUCGAUAAUCCACGAUGGACCUCACUUAUUUUGGUUGAUCAGUUUAUAUACCGUCGUUAUCAGAAUAUUUUAAAAGAAUAAUAAUUUUCAAUAAAUUUAAUUAAAUUUUAUAUCAGAUCAAGGUGUAGCUUAUGAAUAAGAAGAAAUGGGUUACAUUAAAAUUAUUUAUGGAUGUAGAAAUGAAAACUCUAUUGAAAAUGGAUUUGAUAGUAAAAUUAUAAAGAUUAAUAAUUUGAUUUUAGCUCUAAAAUAUGCACACAUCGCCCGUCGCUCUUAUUACUAAGGUAAGAUAAGUCGUAACAUAGUAGAAGUACCGGAAGGUGCUUCUAGAAUGACAGUUUAAAGCUUAUAAGGAAGCAUUUCAUUUACAUUGAAGGGAUUUAUGUGCAAAUCAUUAUAAACUGAUAGAUUUUAUUUAUUAUUUUUAUGAGUAUUUUUUUUAUGCUAUUAAAAAUAAUUAUACAAAGACAUAGUUUUAGUAUUGUAUAUAGAAUAAAUAUUGAUAAUAAUAGUUUAUUAGUAAUGUAAAUGAAUAUUGAAAUAUAUGAAAAA